rnacentral:rRNA from 1 species
UAGGGAAUAUUGGGCAAUGGGCGCGAGCCUGACCCAGCCAUGCCGCGUGACGGAUGAAGGCCUUCUGGGUUGUAAACGUCUUUUGACCGGGAAGAAAAAGCCCUUGCGAGGGAAAUCGACGGUACCGGUUGAAUAAGCACCGGCUAACUCCGUGCCAGCAGCCGCGGUAAUACGGAGGGUGCGAGCGUUGUCCGGAUUUAUUGGGUUUAAAGGGUGCGUAGGUGGCCCUGCAAGUCCGUGGUGAAAGCCUGCUGCUCAACAGCAGAACUGCCAUGGAUACUACAGGGCUUGAGUCCAGACGAGGUUGGCGGAAUGGAUGGUGUAGCGGUGAAAUGCAUAGAUACCAUCCAGAACCCCGAUUGCGUAGGCAGCUGACUAGGCUGGUACUGACACUGAGGCA